rnacentral:lncRNA from 1 species
CAGAAAGGCAGUAGCAAGUAUGACAUAUAAAAACGAAAGUGAUAGUAGUAAUUCGAACAAAGUUAGGUUAGAUGGUAAUCCCAAAAUCGAUUAUUUUCAUAAUAAAGAUAAUCUAUUAAUAAGGACGUAUGCUUGGCAAAUUGAAAAUCCAAUAGGUGCACUGUUUUUAGUUCAUGGCUUUAAUAGUCACGUACGUUUCGAAUAUAUGAAGCAUAAUGUAAUAAUAGAAAAUUAUGAAAAGGUUACACUAAAAGAUAUAAAUAAUUUUUAUAUAUAUGAAAAUAGUUGGAUUGACCAUUUAAAUAAAACAGGUUUUUCAGUUUAUGCGUUAGAUUUGCAAGGUCAUGGUGAAUCAGAAGGGUAUAAGAAUAUGAAACUAAAUGUAAGGAAGUUUGACGAUUUUGUUUAUGAUUUUAUUCAAUACAUGAAUAGAAUACAUGAUACAUUAUGUUUAAUAAACAUAAAAAGUAAUGACACAACCUCUAUCCAUGACAAUAUAACUAGUACAAAGAUACCUCCUUUUUAUUUGAUGGGUUUAUCCAUGGGUGGUAAUAUAGUAUUUAGAACAUUACAAUUGUUGAAUAAGUCUAAAGACACUUAUAACAAAUUAAAUAUAAAAGGAUGUGUUUCUUUAGCUGGUAUGUUAUCUAUAGACAUAUUAUUAAAAAAACCUAUUUAUAAAUAUUUUUUUUUACCGUUUAGUAAAUUUUUUGCUAUGGUUAUACCUUAUUUCAGAAUAGGACCGGGUAUAACACUAAAACGUUUUCCUUUUAUUAACGAAUUAACUAAAAUCGACACUUAUAUUUCUCAUAAACCAGCUACAUGUAAUUUACAAUAUGAAUGCUUAAAUGCGAUAGAAAAUAUAAACAUUGAUGUCAAUUUUAUACCAGAUGAUAUACCGUUAUUAUUUAUACACUCAAAAGAUGACACAUUGUGUGAUUAUGAAGGAGUAAAAAUAUUUUAUGAUAAAAUUAAAUCCAAAAACAAAGAAUUUUUUACAUUAGAAGGAAUGGACCAUUUAAUAACUAUGGAGCCAGGCUAUGAGAAUGUUAUGAAUAAAGUUCUUGAACUUCUUUCGAAAACAUCCGAAAGUGCAUGAUUCGUUACAUAUUAUAUACAUGUGUGUGUAUACGGCC